GUGUGUGACUGUCUGUCUGUGUGUGACUCCAAUUGUAUGUGUCGCUGUAGUUGUGCCGUUGUGUGUGCCUGUAUGUGUGACUAUCUGCCUUUAACGGAGUGUGUGUGUGACUAUCAGCGUGCAUGACUGUCUGCAUGCCUGUAACAGAGUUUGUGUGACUGUCUGCUUGUGACUGUGUGCCUGUAACUGUUUAUGAUUGUGUGCCUGUAACUGUGUGUGAC